rnacentral:rRNA from 1 species
AGCGAACGCUGGCGGCAGGCUUAACACAUGCAAGUCGAACGGUCCUUCGGGAUAGUGGCGGACGGGUGAGUAACACGUGGGAACGUACCCUUAGGUUCGGAACAACACAGGGAAACUUGUGCUAAUACCGGAUAGCCCUUCGGGGGAAAGAUUUAUCGCCUUUGGAGCGGCCCGCGUCUGAUUAGCUUGUUGGUGAGGUAAUGGCUCACCAAGGCUACGAUCAGUAGCUGGUCUGAGAGGAUGGCCAGCCACACUGGGACUGAGACACGGCCCAGACUCCUACGGGAGGCAGCAGUGGGGAAUCUUGCGCAGUGGGCGAAAGCCUGACGCAGCCAUGCCGCGUGGAUGAUGAAGGUCUUAGGAUUGUAAAAUCCUUUCACCGGGGACGAUAAUGACGGUACCCGGAGAAGAAGCCCCGGCUAACUUCGUGCCAGCCGCCGCGGUAA